CUUGCAUAUAAUUACAUAAAUUAUGACUAAAAAAAAUAAAUGGCAAUUAAAGUUAAUUUCAUUAAUUUUAACAUUAAAAACAUUAUUUGCCAGAAGACUCGGGGCACUCUCCGGUUUAUUUAAUGUUUUUCUUUUUUUUUCUUCUUUUAUUUUCUUGCUGUUAUCGUUUGCUCUUUUAUUGUAUCUAACCGAUAAUAAUUGCCUAGCGAUAAAACCAUUUAUUACGGGAAGUCGCAAUAAUUUAUACAAAAUAAAACACAUUAAAUGCGAGACUCGUAAGCGCAUUUAUUCUUCGACUACAAAACGGUAGGAAGGAACUCCAGGUUGUUACAAGAAUAUAUAAACCUAGAACGUUAUGAACAUGUUUGAAUACCGAUGAAUAAUAUAAAUAUAAAUCGAUACGAUCUAAUAAUUCUUGGACGUUUUCAUUAUAUUCCCCGAAACGAUCUAAUAAAAUAUUAAGAGCCGCAUGAUGUUUUAAUACCGAUUAUCGAGAUAAAAUUAUAUGGUAAGUUUUGUUAAUGAUAUCGUGACAGUUAAUGCCAUCCAUGCGAAAAGUGGAAAUUAAUUUUGGUUGAAGAAAUUCUCGAUUUUACCCAUCGAAAUGAAUAUUUUAAGAAUGCCAUUCUCGGUGAUGGUAAUCGAGAAGAAAACGAAGAAGAUUUUUCUCCAUUUAAAGUCGCGUAGGAAUCUUGAAAAGUUUACCAGAAACGCCAUCUGUUGCAGUUUUAACGCACUUUAAAGGAGUUUUAACCCUCAUAAAAAAAAAUGGCUUCUGUGUUUAACAAAAGCAAACAAGUUAUUAGUAGAAGGUACGAAUUAAUUCGCGGAGUUAUAGCCGAGUAAGUAUUUUUAAUAAUUUAUUCUACUGUUAAUGAAUGAAGUGGAUCGAGACGGAAUUUAGAAAGUUUUGUGCUUUCGCGCCAACACUACACAGAAAAACGUAGUUAAAAUUAGUAUUGUUUGAGGAGAAAUUUCGCCGUGUGCCAUAACGAAGCGAAUAAGAAAAUUUGGAAAUUUUCUUUUGUCAUUUUCUUUCUUUUUUUUAAAGAGAAUGCAAUGUUCUAAAGGAUAAACCGCAUCGAUUUGAUGACGAUUCGGAUAUGAGAAAAUACGUCCAAUGAAUACACAACUAACAUUUUCCAGAGUUUGAUAAAAGUACCUUAUAGGACAAGGCUCAUAACGUAUUGCGGCCAGCACACUAUUAUAAAAACCAUAGAAUAGCAGUCAAUUUAAUGCGAAAGUCCGACUUCUGCAUUUUAAAGAGCGCUCUCUUUGGAGUUAGAAAAUCAUCAAAAGUCCCAUCGAGAUUUUUAUCUCAUCAAGCAUGACCAAAUGGGUUUUCUAAUAAAACACUGGAGUAUAGAAUCACGGUAUUUUCUUCGACAUUUCUUCGAAUGGUUUUUAUUGGAAAUAACCCCCCAGUCCAGUAAAGUAUAACGGUUGCAAAAGAGAUAUCUUCUCUUUUCUUCCAAUAAUUUAAAUUGUUCCAGGUCAUUUCUUAUAAAAUAUUAAAUUAUUCCGAAGGAGAGC
rnacentral:lncRNA from 1 species